CGCAUGAUGAGAAUCAGUGAAAAUAUCCACGCUCCUUACGUUAUUUGGAGCGUGUGGCUUCUCCCCGAGAUGUCCGCAGGGCCUAUCUAAUAGGCAAUUGGAAUCCAACAGAAGGUCCUUUUUUGUUACUCAGCCGGAUUAUCGAGGGAGCCAUUGACUUGUGUGCAUGCGGAGUACUUCCUCAACGUCUAGCGCGGUUUUCCAAUAAUCGAUCUAGGCUUGUUUCCUGGAGGGGUGAUGUUUCUGAUCUACGCUGGACGAAUGAACUUUGUUUUCAUUAGGAUUAUAUAGCUCAGAGAUAGAUUGAAUUACCCCUAUUCUGCUUAUCUAGUUAAACAUCCAAUUUCGCCCCCUGGAAAUUUCAAAGGCGCUCAAUAACUCAUCAAAAAAGAAACAAAAAAGAAUGUAAGAUAUUUGGAUAUAUUUAAAUUAGUAUCAUGCAGGCUUUUCAUAAACGGAAAUCUCACGUGUUCGUUUUUCGUCUUUCCAUGUAAAAUUUUCUAAUAUCUAGGCAGUCAAAAACUUGGUCUCCCCAUCUUUCAGCCUUCCAGCACCAACAAGCCCCUUAACAAUUUCACCAUAAGUCGACUUGACAGCCGCUGCGUUACCCCCUGCGGCCGCUAGUUUCGCAGCGAGCUCCGCAAGCUCCUCAUUGCUAAUCUUGCUAAUAAGCACAUCGAUAUCGUUCAGCACGCCAUCCACUUGCGCCGCAGUGGCAUCCCCACCCUCAGCAAAAUAGUUCACAUCCUUAACGCUGCCCUUA
rnacentral:sRNA from 1 species